rnacentral:rRNA from 1 species
GAUGAACGSUGGCGGCGUGCCUAAUACAUGCAAGUCGAGCGAACAGACGAGGAGCUUGCUCCUCUGACGUUAGCGGCGGACGGGUGAGUAACACGUGGAUAACCUACCUAUAAGACUGGGAUAACUUCGGGAAACCGGAGCUAAUACCGGAUAACAUGUUGAACCGCAUGGUUCAACAGUGAAAGACGGUCUUGCUGUCACUUAUAGAUGGAUCCGCGCCGCAUUAGCUAGUUGGUAAGGUAACGGCUUACCAAGGCAACGAUGCGUAGCCGACCUGAGAGGGUGAUCGGCCACACUGGAACUGAGACACGGUCCAGACUCCUACGGGAGGCAGCAGUAGGGAAUCUUCCGCAAUGGGCGAAAGCCUGACGGAGCAACGCCGCGUGAGUGAAGAAGGUCUUCGGAUCGUAAAACUCUGUUAUUAGGGAAGAACAAAUGUGUAAGUAACUAUGCACGUCUUGACGGUACCUAAUCAGAAAGCCACGGCUAACUACGUGCCAGCAGCCGCGGUAAUACGUAGGUGGCAAGCGUUAUCCGGAAUUAUUGGGCGUAAAGCGCGCGUAGGCGGUUUUUUAAGUCUGAUGUGAAAGCCCACGGCUCAACCGUGGAGGGUCAUUGGAAACUGGAAAACUUGAGUGCAGAAGAGGAAAGUGGAAUUCCAUGUGUAGCGGUGAAAUGCGCAGAGAUAUGGAGGAACACCAGUGGCGAAGGCGACUUUCUGGUCUGUAACUGACGCUGAUGUGCGAAAGCGUGGGGAUCAAACAGGAUUAGAUACCCUGGUAGUCCACGCCGUAAACGAUGAGUGCUAAGUGUUAGGGGGUUUCCGCCCCUUAGUGCUGCAGCUAACGCAUUAAGCACUCCGCCUGGGGAGUACGACCGCAAGGUUGAAACUCAAAGGAAUUGACGGGGACCCGCACAAGCGGUGGAGCAUGUGGUUUAAUUCGAAGCAACGCGAAGAACCUUACCAAAUCUUGACAUCCUCUGACCCCUCUAGAGAUAGAGUUUUCCCCUUCGGGGGACAGAGUGACAGGUGGUGCAUGGUUGUCGUCAGCUCGUGUCGUGAGAUGUUGGGUUAAGUCCCGCAACGAGCGCAACCCUUAAGCUUAGUUGCCAUCAUUAAGUUGGGCACUCUAAGUUGACUGCCGGUGACAAACCGGAGGAAGGUGGGGAUGACGUCAAAUCAUCAUGCCCCUUAUGAUUUGGGCUACACACGUGCUACAAUGGACAAUACAAAGGGUAGCGAAACCGCGAGGUCAAGCAAAUCCCAUAAAGUUGUUCUCAGUUCGGAUUGUAGUCUGCAACUCGACUACAUGAAGCUGGAAUCGCUAGUAAUCGUAGAUC